AACGCACCUUGCGCUCCCUGGUAUUCCGGGGAGCACGCCUGUUCGAGUGUCGUGAAACCCUCAAGCUGGAUAGCUUUAUUGCUUGUCUUGGCUUGGAUUUGGACUCUGCCGUGUUAUAACGGCUGGUCUCAAAGGUAUUAGCUGAAUCCUGGUGUGGGAUUGGUUCUACUCAGCGUGAUAACUCUCUGAUCGCUGAGGACAUCCUUUGGGAUGGCCAUGCCUGUCCUCGAAUCGCUUCUAAUCUGGCGUUAAUGGUUUUUCGGAGCUGUUGCCCAUUUUUCAACUUUGACCUCGAAUCAGGUGGGACUACCCGCUGAACUUAA
rnacentral:misc_RNA from 1 species